rnacentral:rRNA from 1 species
AGAGUUUGAUCAUGGCUCAGGACGAACGCUGGCGGCGUGCCUAACACAUGCAAGUCGAACGAAGUAUAUUUUUCGGAGUAUACUUAGUGGCGGACGGGUGAGUAACGCGUGAACAAUCUGCCCUAUACAAAGGAAUAGCCUCGGGAAACCGGGAUUAAAACCAUAUAACACUUUUCGGUCGCAUGACUGGGAAGUCAAAUUGAUUAAGAGGUAUAGGAUGAGUUCGCGUCUGAUUAGCUAGUUGGUGAGGUAAUGGCUCACCAAGGCGACGAUCAGUAGCCGGCCUGAGAGGGUGAACGGCCACACUGGGACUGAGACACGGUCCAGACUCCUACGGGAGGCAGCAGUGGGGAAUAUUGCACAAUGGGCGAAAGCCUGGUGCAGCGACGCCGCGUGAGUGAAGAAGGUCUUCGGAUCGUAAAACUCUGUCCUUGGGGAAGAUAAUGACGGUACCCAAGGAGGAAGCCCCGGCUAACUACGUGCCAGCAGCCGCGGUAAUACGUAGGGGGCGAGCGUUGUCCGGAUUUACUGGGCGUAAAGGGUGAGUAGGCGGUUAUUUAAGUCAGAUGUAAAAGGCUAUGGCUCAACUAUAGUAAGCAUUUGAAACUGGAUAACUUGAGUGCAGGAGAGGUAAGUGGAAUUCCUAGUGUAGCGGUGAAAUGCGUAGAUAUUAGGAGGAACACCAGUGGCGAAGGCGACUUACUGGACUGUAACUGACGCUGAGUCACGAAAGCGUGGGUAGCAAACAGGAUUAGAUACCCUGGUAGUCCACGCUGUAAACGAUGAGUGCUAGGUGUUGGCUAGCGAUAGUCAGUGCCGACGUAAACACAAUAGCACUCCGCCUGGGAGUACGGUCGCAAGACUGAAACUCAAAGGAAUUGACGG